GUAAUGAGCGAUCUGUUUUUUCCUUUAGGAUCAAACAGACCAUACUGAGUCAGCAGGACUUUCCUGUGGCUGCUGUAUCAGUGGGACGUGUCCUCUGCAGGAAGGUGCCUGGCUGCAGCCCCCUCCACUGUGGCUCUGCUCCAAGGACUCCUCAGUGAGUCCUAGCAGAACACGGCUAAGGAAAGCAGAGAGGGAGGCUGGUGGUGCAGCAGGCAUCAUGAAUAAGCACAGAGAAGUCUGUCCUUUAUCACAUUCAUAAGGAGAAAAAGGUAAGAAAACCAAUGUUCUUAUUUUUCUUUGAUUGGACUU
rnacentral:lncRNA from 1 species